CUAGGAUAAUUUGCAUCAAUAACUAACUAACAAUAAUUAUAACUAAGUAAGUUAAUAAGGUAAUAUCGAAUGCAUUAAUGUAAAUUAAAGUUAAAGAAAUCCAAGUUUAUUACCAACAACAGAAACAAUAAAAUAUAGUAGCAAAAUCACUUAACAAAUAUCCAAAAACUGUAAAACAGAAAAAAAAAUUCAUAAAAAUAUCCAGACAAUUUCGCCCUCAAAAUGAGCAUCCAACAAAGGCAAAAAAAAAUGGAAACAACUCCAGUAAAAGCAACAACACCAACUUAUGCUAUUCUCCCCCUGUUUAAUCUUC
rnacentral:lncRNA from 1 species